UACGGGGGGAGCAAGCGUUGUUCGGAUUUACUGGGCGUAAAGGGCGCGUAGGCGGUCAGCACAAGUCAGUUGUGAAAUCUCCGGGCUUAACUUGGGAAUUGCGCUCGAAACUACGUGGCUGGAGUGUGGCAGAGGAAGGUGGAAUUCCACGUGUAGCGGUGAAAUGCGUAGAUAUGUGGAGGAACACCGAUGGCGAAGGCAGCCUUCUGGGCCAACACUGACGCUCAUGCACGAAAGCGUGGGGAGCAAACAGG
rnacentral:rRNA from 1 species